UACGUAGGGUGCAAGCGUUGUCCGGAAUUACUGGGCGUAAAGCGCACGUAGGCGGUCUUUUAAGUCGGGGGUGAAAUCCUGGAGCUCAACUCCAGAACUGCCUCGAUACUGGAAGACUCGAGUCCGGGAGAGGUGAGUGGAACUGCGAGUGUAGAGGUGAAAUUCGUAGAUAUUCGCAAGAACACCAGUGGCGAAGGCGGCUCACUGGCCCGGUACUGACGCUGAGGUGCGAAAGCGUGGGGAGCAAACAGGG
rnacentral:rRNA from 1 species